CAAGUACUCCCUUCGUCCGAAAAUACUUGUCAUCAAAAUGAAUAAAAAAGGAUGUAUCUAGAACUAAAAUACAUCUAGAUGAAUUCCCUUUUAUUCUUUUUGAUGAUAAGUAUUUUUGGACGAAGGGGGUAUGUA
rfam:Triticum aestivum genome assembly, contig: Triticum_aestivum_CS42_TGACv1_scaffold_250902_3DL